UACGUAGGGGGCUAGCGUUGUCCGGAAUCAUUGGGCGUAAAGCGCGCGUAGGCGGCCAGAUAAGUCCGGUGUGAAAGUCACAGGCUCAACCUGCGAAUGCCGCUGGAAACUGUCUGGCUAGAGUCCGGAAGGGGCGAGUGGAAUUCCUGGUGUAGCGGUGAAAUGCGCAGAUAUCAGGAGGAACACCAAUGGCGAAGGCAGCUCGCUGGGACGUGACUGACGCUGAGACGCGAAAGCGUGGGGAGUAAACAGG
rnacentral:rRNA from 1 species